rnacentral:rRNA from 1 species
GAGAACGCGUGGUCGGCGUGGAUUAGGCAUGCAAGUCGAACGGUAUCAUCUUCGGGGUGAGAGAGUGGCGAACUGGUGAGUAACACGUAGGUUAUCUACCCUCAAGACGGGGACGAACCCAGGGAAACUUGGGCUAAUACCGGAUGUGAGCAACUUUUAGUUGUUUGAAAGGUGGCGUAAGCUGUCGCUUGGGGAUGAGCCUGCGUCCUAUUAGUUAGUUGGUGAGGUAACGGCUCACCUAGGCAAUGAUAGGUAGGCGGCCUUAACGGGUGGUCGCCCACACUGGGAUUGAGAUACGGCCCAGACUCCUACGGGAGGCAGCAGUCGAGAAUAGUCUACAAUGGUCGGAAGACUGAUAGUGCGACGCCGCGUGAACGAUGAAUCCCUUCGGGGUGUAAAGUUCUUUUAUAUGUGAGCAGUGCUUCUUAUAUUAACAGUAUGGGGAGAGAGAUAUUAGCAUAUGAAUAAGCAACGGCUAACUCCGUG